AGAGCGAACGCUGGCGGCAGGCCUAACACAUGCAAGUCGAGCGGCCGUAGCAAUACGGCAGCGGCAGACGGGAGAGUAACACGUGGGAACGCGCCCUUCGGUUCGGAAUAACUCAGGGAAACUUGGGCUAAUACCGGAUACGCCCUUACGGGGAAAGAUUUAUUGCCGAAGGAACGGCCCGCGUCCGAUUAGCUUGUUGGUGAGGUAACGGCUCACCAAGGCGACGAUCGGUAGCUGGUCUGAGAGGAUGACCAGCCUCACUGGGACUGAGACACGGCCCAGACUCCUACGGGAGGCAGCAGUGGGGAAUAUUGGACAAUGGGCGCAAGCCUGAUCCAGCCAUGCCGCGUGGGUGAUGAAGGCCCUAGGGUUGUAAAGGCCCUUUCGGGCGGGGAAGAUAAUGACGGUACCCGCAGAAGAAGCCCCGGCUAACGUUCGCGCCAGCAGCCGC
rnacentral:rRNA from 1 species